rnacentral:lncRNA from 1 species
UCGGUGUCGCAGGCGCUCGCCCACGCGGUGCGCACCGGGGCGCCAGGUACAGCGUGGAAAGCCGGGCGAGCGUCUCAGCCCUCGCUAGCUGGACCUGGACCCCAGACCAGUGGGCAACGCUGCCAAAACCCGCAAAGUCGAGCGAGGGACAACGGAACACCGGAUUCAAGCGCGGCUCUACCUAAAAGUCCUGGAAGCUGGAGAAGGGGCGGCGAGCGCGCGUCAGUGCAAGCCUGGCUCUGCUCCCGACCGUCACUGCGACCGCGGGCGCAGGAAGGAUGUGAGUGGAGGCCGGGGCGAAGCCCGGUUCCCAGGCCUUCUGUGGCCCUCACUCAGAGCCCACGAUUCAGAGGGAAGGGUAACUCUCUGCCUUGCCACCCGUCCUGCGUUCCCGCCUCCACGGCUCCCAAGCUCACAAAACCGAGGACAGCUGACAUCCUGGAGAUGAGCGUAAAAGACAUCUGCAGCGCCUACACGGCCCGGUGACAGCUGGGGUCACUGCGUGGAGGUGAGCUGUGUGCGGGACAGGGACAGAUUCCCGCGCUUGCAGCUCCCUAACCCUAAUCCUAACCCUGAGAGCUCAGCAAGAUGGCUUUGCCGAGCCUGAGACCCUGGGCAAGUUCUGGGCUCUUUCAGAAAGUGUCUCACCGAGACGAUCUGCUUCCUGGCAGGAUGUGAGGGGGUCGCCUGCCUGUCCCAGCUGGAACCAGGAGCCGGCCCGCCUCCCGCCUUCGUGGUGCAUUUGCAGAAGUUUGACUCCAGUACCUCCUCCCACUCGAGAACCGGGUCUCUGGGCCCGAGCUGAACCUGGAGGUUGUGGCCGCGGUGAAGUGUGGCUUGUCUUACGACUGCAGGCUUGCACCAGAGAAUGCGUAUUUACAGUCGCACGGCGCAUUUGUUUGGUUUUAAACCAUAUGGUUCAGUAGCACCGCUUCCUAGCUCUGGCAUCCCUGACCCAGAUCGUUUCCCAAGCCCUUCUUCUAGUCGGGGAUAUACGGAUGGGGAUGUGUCCCCUCACACUCCAGGGUUGGCUUUGCUUUGCUUAGUGUUGGAGUCUGCAACUACCCUGGGAUAUAAUAUGGACCCCAAUAGGGGGCAACCAAGAAGGUGACAGUCACCAAGCUGUCUCGGUGCAGUAAGGUGAUUGGGGAGAAGUAUGGGAAGGGGGGGGUUCCUGAUUUAAAAAAAUAACUGUGUGUGUGUGUGUGUGUGUGUGUGUGUGUGUGAUUGUGAUGUAUGCAUGUGCUACUAUGUAUCCAUGGGCAAACAGCAAGACUUCUGCCAGGAGUGGGGUGGGGUUGUAACCAUGGUGGGACGGGGUUGUGGUGGUGAGGGUGAUCCAUGCCUUUAAUCCCAGUGCUCUCAGGAGGGAGAGGCAGGCAAAUCUCUGAGUUUGGGGACAGCUUGGUCUACAGAUCAAGUUCCAGGACAACUAGCGCCACACAGGAAACCCUGUCUCAAAAACCAAACCAAAACAACCAAAGAAAUCUCUCAUUGAGCUGAAAGGUGAGCUCUCAGAAUUUGUCAAUGUCUGUCCCCUAUUCCUUGUGCUGGAGUUCCAGGCAGGACAGUCAUGUCUAGCUUUUUACAUGGGUUUAAACCCAGUCCUCCAUGCUUGUAGAACAAGUGCUCUUACCCCCUGAGCCAUCUCCUUAGCCCUGGUACUACUGGGCAUGGUGGCACAUGCCUGUAAUCUGUGCUUGGAAAGUAGAAGCAGGUGAAUCACUGUGAGUUUUGAGUUUCAGAUCAGUGAGUUCCAGGCCAGCCAGGGAUGCACAGGGAAACCCUGUCUUUAAAAGAAAUAAUAAUAAAUUUCAUACUCUUCUCCAGACCCUGAAAGGUGAUCUGUGUUGAUUUGUGCUGCACUUAGGGGAGAGCUGACCUUGUCUGCCAUGAAACCUAAAUUUUCGCUAUUUGCAUUCUGCUUAUUCUCAUGGUUCAACAUAAAGAUAGCAGCUUCUAGCCAAGUUGAGCUUCCCUUUCCCAACUCCAGUUCCCUUCCUGCAACACAGGCAGGGAUUCCUGCAGGACAGGCUGGCAAGGACACAUCAUCCCUAGACAGAGUAUACAGAGUGUCUGUUGUUAACUGUAUGGAAGCGUCAUCUGCCAAUAAAAACGCUUACGGCCAAUGAGUUGAGGCAGAAAGUAAGAGGUGGGACAUCUGGCAGAGAUGAGAAUCUGGGAAUUCGUCAGGAACAAGAGAGAUUUUCAUCAGAAUGCUGAGGAGAUGGAGGUAAAAGACAAGGAGAGGAACCAGCCAUGCAGAUGAAUUCAGGUUAGAAUAAAAGGGAUAACUGAGUUACGAGUUAGCAGGAAGGAGCCAAAGCUUGUAGGGCAGGCAUUUAUUAAUAAAUAAGUCUCGGAGUCACUAUUUCUGGGAAUUAAGUAGUUGGGAGGCAAAACUCAACAUUCGAGAGAGACUCAUGAGGAGUCAAAGACCUGAUGCACAUCCGGUGGGAGAAGAUUGGAGUUUCUUUCUGCAUUAUCGUGAUCACUGGCAUCUGGAUGCUAUUGAAAAUAUCAGGCACAAAGGCUAGGACAUUCAUACUCCACAAAGUCACCAUUAUGCUGUUUAUGCCUCUUGAUCCUCGAGUUGCUCGUGAGUGAGUGCUAUGAUUUCCUUGUGUGAGAUGUGAAGCCCGUAGAGUAUCUUGUGAGUGGUCUGGAAGCUGCACCCAAGCCACCAUGAAGUAAAGCAAGUAACU